UACAGAGGUGGCAAGCGUUGUUCGGAAUUACUGGGCGUAAAGGGCGCGUAGGCGGUGCGGUAAGUCACCUGUGAAAUCUCCUGGCUCAACUGGGAGUCUGCAGGCGAAACUGCCGUGCUGGAGUGUGGGAGAGGUGAGUGGAAUUCCCGGUGUAGCGGUGAAAUGCGUAGAUAUCAGGAGGAACACCGAUGGCGAAGGCAGGUCUCUGGGCCGAUACUGACGCUGAGGAGCGAAAGCGUGGGGAGCGAACAGG
rnacentral:rRNA from 1 species